rnacentral:hammerhead_ribozyme from 1 species
AUCCAGCUGACGAGUCCUAAAUAGAACUAAACGCACAUCUUGGAU